GAAGUGAAAAAUCUUUGUUGGCCCAACAAGCCUUGCAGCAAAAAACGCGUGUACGCAUGCGCCUGAGAGAAACCGUUGGUGUAGUGAAUUCAAAUUCCUGUGCUCGAGAGAGCGGAGCCGAUGCUGAGGAGCGACAAAAAAUCAUUUCCGGACGGAUUUUCCAUCAUUAAAGUUAUGUGUAACCCACCAUUGCUAGGUCUGAGCUUACGAGGCACCAUUUAGUCUGAAGUCAGAAGUGUAAAAAGGGAACAACUAUGAAUUUCACAAGCCGUUGGAGAACCACACAACUACAAUGAAAAUUGGAAUAGUAAGCAUCAGCAGUUGCACUUCAAGAGCCCUGUCAAGUGUGCUAAAUGUCUCCGUUGUCCUGGAAGAGGAGGUGGUGCUCCUCUUAGGAGACUUUGUAAAUGUAUUUAUUGUACUAUUUGGAUUAUUGUGUGCACUCAACAUGGAGUACAACAAGGAUUUAAAAGGUUAGUUCACCCAAAAAUGAAAAUUGUCGUUAAUUACUCACCCUCACGUCGUACCCAAACCCGUAAGACCUUCAGUCAU